CUCUUAUCCAGAGUGGCGGAGGGACUGGCCCAAUGAUGCCCGGCAACCUGAUUGCGCAUGCGCAAAGUCAAGGUGCUAAUUCCAACAGAAACGCGAUGCGUUCUGGCAGAUGAGAG
rnacentral:ncRNA from 2 species